CAGCCCUGUAGGAGACACCUCCAGAGAAAGUAACAGCUCUCAAUUGAUUAGCUGAGGAAGACACCAGACAAAUGAGUUACACUGUUUUGGACUCCCCAACACAACCCAGCCACCGGCUGAAUGCCACCAAAUUACCUUCUAGUUAAAGGUUUAUGGAGCAAACGAAUCACCUAUUCAAUAUCUGCUUGAAUUUCUGACUCAAAAUACAUCAGGUAUAAAAUGAUGGUUUUUUUAAGCCACUAAGUCUUGGGGGAGUUUAUUAUAAAGCAAUAGAUAAUUUUGAAAAUAAAUAGAACAAGCUGAAGUCCCAAUAAGAACUCCAUGGUUUCAUUUAUUUCUUUGAUAGAAUGGUCUUGGAAGUAACAUCUAAUUUUGACUGAGGUAUCAUCUCUAACCAGUGAUCUAUAAAGCAGUUUGGGAUCUCUAGCCUGCCCGUGAUCAUAUAUAUAUAUACACACACACACAUAAACAUAUAUAACAUAUAUAUAAACAUAUAUAUGCAUGUAUGUGCCCCAUAGUUAGGUAAGUCAAUUUACAAUGAUGAAGUAAAUCGAAUUCAUAAUAAUAACGGUUAGGUUUAGUGAUAAAUUUUGUAAUUACUGCUGUUAUGUUUGUGGAUUUUUUUUCUUUCUUUGAGACACGUUCUUGCUUUGUCACCCAGGCUGGAGUGCAGUGGUACAAUCAUGACUCAUUGCAGCCUCAAUCUCCC
rnacentral:lncRNA from 10 species